rnacentral:tRNA from 1 species
CUCGCGAUAGCUCAGUUGGUAGAGCGGAGGACUGUAGAUUGUCAAUAUCAUAAACUGUAAUCCUUAGGUCGGUGGUUCGAAUCCGUCUCGCGAGA